rnacentral:rRNA from 1 species
GUCUACAGCCAUGCUACCCUGAACAAGCCCGAUCUCGUCGGAUCUCAGAAGCUAAGCAGGGUUGGGCCUGGUUAGUACUUGGAUGGGAGACCACCUAGGAAGACCAGGUGCUGUAGGCA